rnacentral:rRNA from 1 species
GACGAAGGUGGCAAGCAUUGCUCGGAAUCACUGGGCAUAAAGCGCGCGUAGGUGGCCUGAUAAGUCAGUGGUGAAAUCCCAUGGCUCAACCAUGGAACUGCCGCUGAUACUGUCGAGCUUGAGGACGGUAGGGGAGAGUGGAACUCCUGGUGUAGCGGUGAAAUGCGUAGAUAUCAGGAGGAACGCCGGUGGCGAAAGCGACUCUCUGGGCCGCUCCUGACACUGAGGCACGAAAGCUAGGGGAGCAAACAGG